rnacentral:rRNA from 1 species
UACGUAGGGUGCAAGCGUUGUCCGGAAUUAUUGGGCGUAAAGGGCUCGUAGGCGGUUUGUCGCGUCGGGAGUGAAAACCUUGGGCUUAACUCAGGGCUUGCUUUCGAUACGGGCAGACUAGAGGUAUGCAGGGGAGAACGGAAUUCCUGGUGUAGCGGUGAAAUGCGUAGAGAUCAGGCGGAACACCCGUGGCGAAGGCGGAUCUCUGGGCCAUUACUGACGCUGAGGAGCGAAAGCGUGGGGAGCGAACAGG